rnacentral:rRNA from 1 species
GUGAACGCUGGCGGUAGGCCUAACACAUGCAAGUCGCACGGCAGCACAGUAAGAGCUUGCUCUUACGGGUGGCGAGUGGCGGACGGGUGAGGAAUACAUCGGAAUCUACUUUUUCGUGGGGGAUAACGUAGGGAAACUUACGCUAAUACCGCAUACGACCUACGGGUGAAAGCAGGGGAUCUUCGGACCUUGCGCGAUUGAAUGAGCCGAUGUCGGAUUAGCUAGUUGGCGGGGUAAAGGCCCACCAAGGCGACGAUCCGUAGCUGGUCUGAGAGGAUGAUCAGCCACACUGGAACUGAGACACGGUCCAGACUCCUACGGGAGGCAGCAGUGGGGAAUAUUGGACAAUGGGCGCAAGCCUGAUCCAGCCAUACCGCGUGGGUGAAGAAGGCCUUCGGGUUGUAAAGCCCUUUUGUUGGGAAAGAAAAGCAGCAGGUUAAUACCCCGCUGUUCUGACGGUACCUAAAGAAUAAGCACCGGCUAACUUCGUG